rnacentral:rRNA from 1 species
ACAUACUCUAGAGCCCUGUUCAUUUUAUUUUAAUUAAUAAAAUUACUUCCAAAUCCAAAAAAAAUAAAUUUUACAAAUUCUAAUCAUCAAUGUAACCCAUCUCUUCUUUUAAAAGCUGCACCUUGAUUUGAUCUAAAAUAAGAUUUUACUUAAAGAAAAUUAACAUUCUUCAGAAAUAUUCAUUGCAACAACGAUAUACAAGCCAGAUAAAAGUAACAUAAAUUGUGGACUAUCAAUUAUAGGACAGGUUCCUCUGGUAGGUUUGAGUACCGCCAAGAUAUUUAAUUUUCAAGCACCUAACUAAUACUAAUUCGGCUUUCAUAGAUACAAUAUGAAUAACAGGGUAUCUAAUCCUGGUUUAUUAAUAAUACUUUCCUAGAUCAUUUAGCUAUUUAUUGUUAAUUUUAUAUUAAAAUUUCACCUACAAAUAUAAUGAUUCUAAAUUAUUAACUAAUUAACUAAAACCACAUAAAUUAAGUAGCACCUUCUGUAUAACCGCA